GCCUCACUAGCUCAAUCGGUUAGUAGCAAAUCACUCUUAAUGAUUAGGUUCUAGGUUCAAGUCCUAGGUGGGGCA
rnacentral:tRNA from 1 species